rnacentral:rRNA from 1 species
UGCAGCUAACGCGAUAAGCACUCCGCCUGGGGAGUACGGCCGCAAGGCUGAAACUCAAAGGAAUUGACGGGGGCCCGCACAAGCGGUGGAGCAUGUGGUUUAAUUCGAAGCAACGCGAAGAACCUUACCAGGUCUUGACAUCCCCUGACAACCCAAGAGAUUGGGCGUUCCCCCUUCGGGGGGACAGGGUGACAGGUGGUGCAUGGUUGUCGUCAGCUCGUGUCGUGAGAUGUUGGGUUAAGUCCCGCAACGAGCGCAACCCUCGCCUCUAGUUGCCAGCACGAAGGUGGGCACUCUAGAGGGACUGCCGGCGACAAGUCGGAGGAAGGUGGGGAUGACGUCAAAUCAUCAUGCCCCUUAUGACCUGGGCUACACACGUGCUACAAUGGGCGGUACAAAGGGCUGCGAGCCCGCGAGGGGGAGCGAAUCCCAAAAAGCCGCUCUCAGUUCGGAUUGCAGGCUGCAACUCGCCUGCAUGAAGCCGGAAUCGCUAGUAAUCGCGGAUCAGCAUGCCGCGGUGGAUACGUUCCCGGGCCUUGUACACACCGCCCGUCACACCACGAGAGCUUGCAACACCCGAAGUCGGUGAGGCAACCCGCAAGGGAGCCAGCCGCCGAAGGUGGGGCAAGUGAUUGGGGUGAAGUCGUAACAAGGUAAAUC